rnacentral:lncRNA from 1 species
UAUUGCCUUGAGGGGAGGUGGGAAGGGGAGGCUGUGGCUUUAAAGGAGACAGGAGUUUUGCUCAGGAGCAUGGUGGAAGGGCUGCAUCCAUCCCAAAGUUUGCCUUUGCCCUGACAGUGACUGGCAGCUCAGCAGCACCGAGCCUGCUGUGUUACACUGACAUCCCCAUCACUCUGUGUCUCCACACCUUCUGCCUGGGAGUCUUCUAGCACAUCAGUACACUGGAAGAAUUUAAGCUGAAUUCUUCUUUCCACACCAUGAAAUCUUCAUUACUUCCACAUCAGCUGUAGUUACGCAUUUUGUUCCUUCACCUCUUAGCACAGACUCCUCAAAUCUUACUCUCCAGCUCCAGUCACAUUCACGCUGCCCUCCUUCAGCCAAAGAUUUUUGCUGCCACAGAGAAGUGCAGUCAGACGGCACAGCUGCCCCCUGGCCUCUCCGAUCUCCUGCUACGGGGGAUGCAGAUCUACCUCCUAGCAUCACACCAGGACUGUACCCAGCAGAGUAUCCCAGGUCUGACAGUCACAGACAGCAUUUAUAGGCAGAUGCACAAGAUCUGGACACGCGUGCAGUGAGUCUUUACCCAUGCAUCUCCCAGGCUUCAGCAAUGAACAGCACUGGGACUUUGUGGUCAGGAUGGUGACUUUAUGUUUAUUCCUUCCAUGUAGCCAUAGAGUUCCUUUCUGAGCUCCUGUAAACUUUUGCAGUCAAGUCUGGUGGCAGAAAAGUUUAAUUAGAUACCCAAACAGUGCAGUGCCCUUCCUGCCAGGGCACACUAAAAGCUGCUUUUGAAAUUGUUACUGCUUUCUUUUGCUGUUUUUCACACUUUAUUUUCCUUAUAAUUCCUGUCAAAUUUGGAUGUUGUAUCUCAGUUUCCAGACCUUUUCAUGCUGUACUGUCCCUUGCAGGUCCCUUUCCCUCCCAGGAGGAUUCUAUCAGACUAACAGCAAAUGUGACAGAGGCAGAUGCCAGAGUUCAGGCACUGAAGAGUGAAGUCAUGGGGAGGGAACAGAUGAACCUGUAUGAAUCUGAGGGGAAACGGGGAUUUGUUCUUUGAGCUGAGGGUGGGAGGCUUGACUGCUGGAAGGAGAGGCACAUGUGGCUGGAACUUUCUGGAGGAGGUUUAAAACACCCUGUUUGUGGCCAGAUUAUAGUAUCUGGUUGAACUAACUGUCCCCAGCAGAGCCUUGAUGUUCUUCCUCUCACUGUCUGUAUUUCUCCCAGAAUACUUAUGCAACUGUCGUUUCUAUCUGUCCCCUCACUUUCGUUCAGUGCUUUAACAUGGAAAAAGCAAGACUUCAAUGUCUACCAUAGUUCCUAUUCAUUUUCCUAUGGAAGAGGAAGGAAUGAGCCUUUUCACCUAAGAUUAGUGCUUGUUCCAGACUUGAUACACUUCUGUGAUCCUAGAAAUCAAAUGGAUACACUGCUGAUUCACAAGUACUCAUUUAACCUUUAUUCACCAUACAUGCUAGUUUAAGGCAGCAUUAAUGAUUAACCAUGCUUCCCCUCUUACAGACAGUACUUUCUAGUAGGGGGGAAGAAGGGAAAAAGUCAGGCAUGGUGAGCAAGAUCAUGCUAUAGAAAGAUGCAUAUGAGGGAAUGAGUUUUUAGUCUCUUUUAUGACACAAAAACAUUCCUCACUGCAAACCAG